ACCGAAUUAGCUUAAUGGGAAAGCAUACGUUUUGUAAACGAAAAGAUAAGUGUUCGACUCAAUUAUUCGGUA